CCUUAGACAUGCAAGUCGAGCGAGAACUUCGGUUCUAGCGGCAAACGGCGCAGUAAUACGUAAGCAACGUGCCCCCAAGACUGGGACAGUCCGGGGAAACCCGGUUUAAUACCAGAUGUGGCCGUUCUUCCGCCUGGAAGAACGAUUAAAGGACUUCGGUCGCUUAGGGAGCGGCUUACGACCUAUCAGGUAGUUGGUGAGGUAACGGCUCACCAAGCCUACGACGGGUAGCGGGUCUGAGAGGAUGAUCCGCGCGAGUGGGACUGAGACACGGCCCACACACCUACGGGUGGCAGCAGUUUGGAAUAUUGCACAAUGGGGGAAACCCUGAUGCAGCGACGCCGCGUGGGGGAUGACGGAUUUCGGUCUGUAAACCCCUUUUGCCAGGAAAGACUUAGGACGGUACCUGGCGAAUAAGCCCCGGCUAACUACGUGCCAGCAGCCGCGGUAAUACGUAGGGGGCGAGCGUUGUCCGGAUUUACUGGGCGUAAAGGGCGCGCAGGCGGACUGUUAAGUGUGAAGUGAAAUCUCCUGGCUCAACCAGGAAAUUGCUUUGCAUACUGGCAGGCUAGAGAAAGGCAGAGGUAGAUGGAAUUCCCGGUGUAGCGGUGACAUGCGUUGAUAUCGGGAGGAACACCAAUGGCGAAGGCAGUCUACUGGGCCUCUUCUGACGCUCAGGCGCGAAAGCGUGGGUAGAAAACAGGAUUAGAUACCCUGGUAGUCCACGCCCUAAACGAUGGAUACUAGGCGUUAGGGGUAUCGACCCCCUUAGUGCCGCAGCAAACGCGAUAAGUAUCCCGCCUGGGGACUGCGGCCGCAAGGCUGAAACUCAAAUGAAUUGACGGGGACCCGCACAAGCGGUGGAGCAUGUGGAUUAAUUCGAUACUAACCGAAGAACCUUACCCAGACUUGACAUCGAGGGCCCGGCUAUGAAAGU
rnacentral:rRNA from 1 species